UACGAAGGGUGCAAGCGUUAAUCGGAAUUACUGGACGUAAAGCGCGCGUAGGUGGUUUGAUAAGCGAGAUGUGAAAGCCCCAAGCUUAACCUGGGAACGGCAUUUCGAACUGUCAGGCUAGAGUAUGGUAGAGGGUAGUGGAAUUUCCUGUGUAGCGGUGAAAUGCGUAGAUAUAGGAAGGAACACCAGUGGCGAAGGCGGACUACCUGGACCAAUACUGACACUGAGGUGCGAAAGCAUAAGGAGCAAACAGGAUUAGAUACCCCGGUAGUCC
rnacentral:rRNA from 1 species